rnacentral:rRNA from 1 species
AAAUUGAAGAGUUUGAUCAUGGCUCAGAUUGAACGCUGGCGGCAGGCCUAACACAUGCAAGUCGAGCGGUAGCACAGAGAGCUUGCUCUCGGGUGACGAGCGGCGGACGGGUGAGUAAUGUCUGGGAAACUGCCUGAUGGAGGGGGAUAACUACUGGAAACGGUAGCUAAUACCGCAUAAUGUCGCAAGACCAAAGUGGGGGACCUUCGGGCCUCAUGCCAUCAGAUGUGCCCAGAUGGGAUUAGCUAGUAGGUGGGGUAACGGCUCACCUAGGCGACGA